UACAGAGGGGGCAAGCGUUGUUCGGAAUUACUGGGCGUAAAGGGCGCGUAGGCGGCCUUCUAAGUCGAACGUGAAAUCCCCGGGCUCAACCCGGGAACUGCGUCCGAGACUGGAAGGCUCGAAUCCGGGAGAGGGAUGUGGAAUUCCAGGUGUAGCGGUGAAAUGCGCAGAUAUCGGGAGGAACACCAACGGCGAAGGCAGCACUCUGGGCUGGAACUGACGCUGAGGAGCGAAAGCGUGGGUAGCAAACAGG
rnacentral:rRNA from 1 species